rnacentral:rRNA from 1 species
UACGGGGGGGGCAAGCGUUGUUCGGAAUUACUGGGCGUAAAGGGCUCGUAGGCGGCCAACUAAGUCAGACGUGAAAUCCCUCGGCUUAACCGGGGAACUGCCUCUGAUACUGGAUGGCUUGAGAUUGGGAGAGGGAUGCGGAAUUCCAGGUGUAGCGGUGAAAUGCGUAGAUAUCUGGAGGAACACCGGUGGCGAAGGCGGCAUCCUGGACCGACACUGACGCUGAGGAGCGAAAGCCAGGGGAGCAAACGGG